GCCAAGAUGGCGGCUUGAACAGACGCUUUUUUACCGAGCUCCAUAACAAACUUCAGAAAGAAAACAAAAAAAAACAAGUUUACAGUCAUUACUAUUUUUAUUUGUUCAAGAUAUAACACCUUUCCUGUGACUGGAAUGAUAAUGGGGUCAUUUAUUUCGGCAUGUCCAUGCAAAGUCAUGACAAAAAAGAAAGGAAGAAGUUAGCCGUUCUAUUGCUAAUCAACAAGAGAGAAACGUGUUUAUAGACAACUGCCAUAACUACGCUUGGCCUAUGGAUAAUAUCAUGCUUUCGAAUGCUGUUGAAGAUGACGAUGACGAAUUCUCCUCUUUACCGGUUACUCCGUGCAAACCUCCACCCUCCAAAAACCCCAACAUGAACUCUGACAUCGUGGCUACCCUCUCCUUACUCAUCAACUCUAGGUGUUACGCCAUUGAGAAAAUGGAGAGAGAAGUGACUACCGUGGGUCCUCUGGGGAGCCUCAACAACCUCAUGACGAUGACAAGGCAGAGAAGAGUCUCUCCACAUCAGAACACCUUAAGAAACACCUGCAGAGAGCCACAGGGAAGAAACCUCGCUGCUGCUCUGAUGGUGGGAAGAGGUUCACCUCCUCAGGAGGCAUUAAAAUUCAUCUGAGAAUCCACACAGUAGAGAAACCUUAUAGCUGUACUCAAUGUGGAAAUAGUUUUUCUCAUUCAACCAGCCUGACAUCACACCAAAGAACACACACAGGAAUGUUAUCUUAUAUGUGUAGCUGUGGUCAAUGUGGGAAGAGUUAUACUCGGGUAAGCAGCCUGAUAUCACACACAGGAGAGAAACGAGAGAAACCGUAUAGCUGUGAUGAAUGUGGGAAGAGUUUUUACAUCUAGGCAUCUUAUUGUACACCAAAGAACACACACAGGAGAGAAAUCGUAAAGCUGUACUCAGUGUGGGAAGAGUUUUUUAAAACAUUUAACCAUCUGAAGAUACACCAGAGAACACACACAGGAGAGAAACCUUUUAGCUGUACUCAAUGUGGUAAGAGUUUUACUCAGCUAACCAGCCUGAUAUCACACCAGAGAACACACACAGGAGAGAAAUCUUAUAGCUGUACUCAAUGUGGGAAGAGUUUUGUUCAAUCUGGCAAUCUGACAGUACACCAGAGAACACACACAGGAGAUAAAUAUUAUAUGUGGUCAAUGUGGGAAGAGUUUUGUUACAUCUGGCCAUCUGAAGAUACACCAGAGAACACACACAGGAGAGAAAUCUUAUAGCUGUAAUCAAUGUGACAAGAGAUACUCUGAUAAAAGAUCUCUGAUCAAACAUCAGAAAAUACAUGAAGGAGUUGUUUCAUGAUAUCAAUGAAUUAGUAGGAGUAUUUGAAUAAUGUCACAAAUGUAGAAGCCUAAACGUUUGCCCCCUGUUCUAUUGAUUUCAACAUGAUUUGAAUAUUAGCCUCAGGGGGGAGAUCCAGGCUCUGAAUUGGAAGAGUACUAUUUAUGUGAUUUAACAAAAAGUGACUAACACAAAAAGAGCUGUGUUACACUUACCACAUUGGUGACCCACUUGAAUCAAAAUGCAACACUUCAAAAUGUAGCGAGCUGUUUUCUACAAGUUGUCCUCUAACCAGGGAUAUACACAUUACGUGUGGUUUUUGACAGGACGUGCAACCUCAUCUCUCUCCUCUCGCACAAAUGAUUUCAACAUGAUUUUGAUGAGUUAUGACAAAAAAGUGUUGCGUUCCUUUUUUUUAGCGACCCCUACAUUUAAAUGCAUCACUCCAAAAUGUAGCUGACUGUCUUCUGCAGGUUGUCCUCUAAUCAGUGAGGUAAAAGAUAUCUCCCAUUUCCAUGUGUUUUUUUAGAUGUUAGUUUCAACAGCAAGUACAACGUGAUCUCCCCCUAAUCGAUAUCAAAACAACAGGGUUUUUGGUGCUUGUGUCCAUGGUGAGGACAACUUGGUUUCUGAUUGUCUCAAGGUUUGGCAGUCAAAAAGAUUUGUGUUUUGCCAGUGCAUUCCAUGGAUCACAAAUUAUUUUGAAUUUCCGUAUUAAAGAUGAGUUAUGUUUGGGCUUGUUCCAAGGGGACGAGAGUUCUAGAAGCUAGUGGGUUUUAGGAAGGAGAGGAAGGUCUUCAGAGGAGAGGAAGGCUGAGGAGGGAUGGAAGGAUGAAUUUGUCAGUCAGUCAAUAAAGUGUAGAGCUGCUGUCUAUGCAAUGGA